CUCUUUGUAAUUAGAACCUGAAUCUCCAAAGUGUCUCCAGAUAAUAUUAUGAUGACAGUCAUUCAUGAGUCAUCAAUGUCUAUGUUGAAACCUACAGUCCUUGUUGCUUCUGAAGAGAUUUCUAAUGUCAAGGAUCCCUGAAGCCAGCAGAAUCUACACUGAAGUUCACAAUCAAUAUUGCAAUGUCAGGUCAUUUUGAGAGCUACAUGUUCUGAGAUAUGUUUUGUCGGGGUCAUAUAUAUACUAGCAACAGACAACAGUGUAUACUCAUGAUACUUCAGACCUCCAGCAGCCAUGAUGUCAUUGAUCUCCACUGCCUCAUGGGAGCCCAUUAAUAUGAGUGUCUUCAACUUCAAGUAAAAUCAUUACAGAUAUCAGUUAUCCAUGAUCCUUCCCAACUCAUGAGAAGGGUUCUGCCAGCUGUAACCAUCUUUACGUCAUGUUGUAUCUUGUCACUAGACAAGAGGUUUCUGUAUGUGGGCAUACCAGCUAUCUGAAAUUAUCUUAUUGUCUGUGAUAUUUCUGGUGACAGACACCAUGGUGUAUCCCUGAUCCUUCCUGUGACUUUGGAUCAGUUGAUAACAUGAGAAAGACAAGCAUCCAAAGAAAACAUAUUGACAUUACUCAUGUACAAUGCCAGUGGUAAGUAUGUUCAGAUCCACAGCCAGCAUUGUCCUGGAAGUGCUCUCUGAUGUCUGAGAUCCCAAUGCCAGAAGAAUCUAUGAUAAAGAUCAUUGUCAGUAGUGCUGCCUACUGUCAUAAUGAGGUAAGUACUGUGUUUUGCUACUGAAGAUACCAUUGAUGCCAAUGAUCCUACCUGCAACCUGAAGCUAUGUUAAGGUCAGUGCUGCUUGAAGUGACCAGCCAUCCAGAUGGAGUUCACUGUUAAUAUUGCUGAAGGAGAUCCUGAUGAUGGCUAUGAUCUACAUUGCUUCUGGAGAACCUGCUGAAUUCCAAGGCCCAUACUGACACCCAAGGUCAUUUUGAGGUAAGUGUUCUGAGCUGUCACUAGAGAAAGAUUGAUGGCUGAGGUUCUAUCAUUACAGGAAAUUCAGUUGAAGUUUCUGAUGUAUGCAUGUAUCCCCGGAUAUUAAUCAUGAUACAGCAAUCCUACCUGUAAUAUGAAGUUCUGUUGAUGUCAAUGAUGUAUUCUGUGACCAGCAAUCAUGAAGGAGUACAUUAUUCCUAUUGGUGAUGGAGACUCUGUUGAUGGCUAAGGUCUUUGUUGCUGUUCAAGCAUCUGAUAAAUUCCAAGGUCCUUACUGAUUCCUGAAUUCAUAUUGGAGUAAUUAUUCAUAGCUGGCACUGGAGAUCAAAUUGAUGGCUGAGAUGCUACCUGUUACAGGAAAUUCUAUUAUUCCUAGUGCAUGCAAAUACCUCCAGAUGUUACAUAUGCAAUGUGCUUUGAUGUUUAUGACAAUAUCUGGAACCUAAAGCAAUAUAGAUGUAAAUGCUGCAUGAUAUAAACUGCAAUCAUGGUGGAGUCCAUUAUUCCUAUUGUUGAUGGAGACCCAAGGAAAAGUAUUUUGUGAGCUCAACCAUUUUGAUUUCAUAAUACAUCCUAUCACUGGAGAGGUUUCUGGCUAAGGUUCUUCUGGUCAUCAGAAACUGUCUGGGAGUGCAUAAUACUUAAGUUCAUGAUCGAUGCUGCUACUUUUCACUUGAUUAAUGACAUUGGUGAUUACAACUCUCAAGGGAAAUAUAUUAAUGUCACUCAUCUAUAAUAUUAUUUGCUACCAUGUUGAGAUCCAAAGUCAGUGUUUUCUUGGAAGUGCUCUCUGAAAUGUGAAUUCCUUGAUACAGAAGAAUCUCUUGUGAAGUUCAUGAUCAGUAGUGCUGCCCAAGGUAAUAAUGAGGUAAGUGCUGUGUGCUAUUACAGGAGAUGCAUUUGAUGCCUGUGACCCUACCUGAAAUAUGAAGCUAUUCUGAUGUCGGUGCUGCUGCUGUGACCAGCAAUCACUAUAGAGUGAUUCUUAUUACUGAUUAAAACCCUGUUGAUUGCUAUGACCUAUUUUUCUUCUGGAGAACUGCCUGAAUUCCAAGGUCAUACUGACAACUGAUGUCAUAUUGAGGUAAGUGUUCUGAGCAGGCACUGGAGAAAAGAUUGAUGGCUGAUAUCCUAAGUGUCACAAGAAAUUCUGUUGAUGUUCCUGAGGCAUGCAUGUAGUUCCCGGUGUCUUUCAUGGAGUAUAUUUUGAUACCUGUGAUCCUACCUCUAACAAGAUGCUAUGUAGAUGUCAGUGAUGCAUUCUGUGACCAGCAAUCAUGAAGAAGUCUAUUAUUCCUAUUGAUGAUGGAGACCCUGGAAUUGCUAAGAUCUGUCUUUCUGCCUGAGAAUCUGAUAAAUUCCAAGGUCCUUACUGAUGCCUGCAGGCAUAUUGAGAUAUACCAUGAUAAAUUUCAGAUUCCUAUGCCAACAGUCAAACAGGCAGUGAGUAAUCACUACUACCACUUUGGAACAAAUUGAUUAUAUCCAUGAUUCCAACUGCCAAGGAAAAUAUAUUGAUGUCACCCAUUCAUGCUGUCACUUGUAUCCAUAUUGUGAUCCAUGACCAGCAGCUUUGAAGAGGCCUUGAUGUCUGUGAUAACUCAACCAGAAAGAUCUGUUUUGAACUUCAUUGUUAGUUCUGGUGCCUAAGGUCAUAAUGAGGCAAGUCGUGUGUGAUCCAACUGAAGACAUGUUUGAUGCCAGUGCUCAUAUCUGCAACUGGAAGUUAUGUUGAUGUUAGUGCUGCAUGCUGUAACCAGAAAUCAUAGUAGAGUCCAGUAUUCCUAUUGCUAGUGGAGACCCUUGUGAUGGCUAUGAUCUGUGCUGCUUUUGGAGGACAUGCUGAAUUCCAAGGUCCAUACUGACAUGUGGGGUCAUAGUUAGGUUUUGAAGUCCAUGGUAUGAAUUGCUGUCUAAAGUUAUAAUGAAGUAGAUGUUGUAUGCUGCUACUGGAGACAUGUUUGAUAUCUGUGAUCCUAACUGCAACCUGAAUCUAUGUUGAUGGCAACACUGAACUAGGAUGGACUCCAGGAUUCCUAAUGUGGAUAAAGACUAUGGUUAUGGCUAUGAUCUCUGCUGCUAUCUAAGACAUUCGAAAUUAUAAGCAUGUCAAUUGUGAACUUCAUGGUCAGAACUGCUGCCCAAGAUUAUAAUGAGUUUCUAUUUCCUAGGAAGAGCCAUUUGAUGACAUGAUCUGUGUUGUUGCAUGAGAACAGGAUGAAUUCAAAGAUCUAUACUGAUGUGCAUAUUGAGACCUUGCUAUGAGUAAUAUCCUUGCUGCCACAAGAAGAAAUUUGAUGUGAUUGAUUCCUCCUGCCACUGGAGAAGAGAUUUAUGUCCAUAAUUUCUUCUGCCCUCUGAAUCAACUCUGAUGUCAGUGAUACAACUGUCAGCAGACAUCAUACUAUAUAAUCCAUGAUGUGAAUAGGAAACAUCAUAUUAGAUAUCUGUGCUGCCGGUUUGGAUCAGGAUGGUAUCAAUGAUCCUAACUGCCAACAGAAAAUAGUGAUGCCACUCAUCUAUGCUUCUACCUGCAAAUAUAGUGAUAUCUAUAUCUGUUGUGCCUCUGAAGAGCUUGGAGAUAACUGUUAUCCAUGGUGCUAGAAAAGUCUGUCUUGAACUACAUGGUCAAUAAUACUGCCUAAGUCAUGUUGACUUAUGUGUACUGUGCUGCAACCAGAGAUGAGUUUUAUGACUGUGACCUGACUUGAGAACUGUAUCAGUGUUGAUGUCACGGCUACCUACUGACAACAGUAAUCAUGAGGAUAUUUAUUGUUUCUAUUAAGAUACUGUAAAACACAGGAGUGUAUGAAAUGCCUAUUAUAUGAGUGAAAUCCCUGCUGUUGACUAUAUUAUGAAUAAGAUCCUCAAUGCAAUCAAUCAGAAGAACUAAUCAAGAUGUCAUUGAUCCGUCCUGACAAUAGAGAAGAUGUUUAUGUUAAUAUUUUCUCUUGCCCUCUGAAUAUAUACCAAUAUCCAUGAUAUGGCCAGAAACAGAUAACAGGGUAUUGCCCAAGAUGAAUCCUGCCACAGGCAACCAUGAUUUCAGUGAUCUCUGUUGCAAAUGAGUAACAUGUUAAUAUCACUAAUUCAAGGUGCCACUAUGUUGAUGUCCAUCAUCAAUGAUGACACUGACAGCUAUGUUGAAUGCCAUAGUUCAUGUUGAUUCUGAAGAGAUUGUUAAUAUCAAGGAACCUUGUUGCUACCAGAGCCUAUGGUGAAGUUCAGUCAAUACUGCUAACUAAGCUUAUGUUUAGUUAAACUUUCUGUGGUAUGUUGAAGUCAGUGAUAAAUUGUGGCAACAGACACCAUUGUAUUCCCAUGAAUCUUGAUGUGACUAGCAGCCAUAGUGUCAGAGAUCACUGGAGAAACAUGUGACUACAUUUAUCUGAGUGAUUCCAACUGUCACCAGAAUCUAUACUGAUGUCAGUGAUCCAUUUUCUGCUGCCUGAGGCCAUGUUACAUAUGAAAUAUGUGCUGCAAGAUCUAUCAUUAUGUAUGAAAUGUGUGCUGUUAAGAAUCCACCCUGCCAUUAGAAAAGAAGUUUCUGUCCAUGGUCUGAUCUGGCCUCUGAAACUGCAUCAAUGUUACAGAUACCUCCUAGAAGAAAACCCCAUGGUAUAUCCUAUAUCAUCACUGUGGCCACUAGCCCACCAGCAAACACGAUGAUGCCCAUUAUUUCUAUUGAGGUCCUACCUGCCACAGGAAACUAUGGUGAUGUCCCUGAUGUAUGACUGUAGCUGAUCUGUAAAGCAUGCCAUGUAUAAGAUCCUAACUGCCCCCAGAAUAUCUAGUGUUAUAAAUGGUCCACCCUUGUAGAUACUUGCCAACUGUAACUAUUUUGAUAUCGAGGAUCCAUCCUGGAACUAGAGAAGAGGGUUUUUUUGUUUUGUUUUUUUUUUUUACAUGAUCUGUCCUUACAGUGAAACUAUGAUGUCAGUGACAACUCCAUGGUAACAAACAUUAUGGUAUAUCCCUGAUCGAUGCUGCCAAAAGUUGCAGGAUGUUAAUGAUUCCAGGUCCCACUGUGGAUCAGGAUGAUUACAUUAGCUAUCCCACUUCUCGAUGCAAGGAAUGUUCAUGUUAGUGCUACCUGUUGUCACCAGCAAACAAGAUGAUGUCCUUCAUUGCUAUUGAGAUUCUACCUGCCACAGAUAAUUAUGGAGAGGUCCCUGAUGGAUGUAUUGAUCCUUUGCUACAGACUAUCACGUAUACCACUACCAGAAGUGAUAUUUUUGUUAGUGAUACUUCCUGUGACAUAAGAAGUGAUUUAUGCCUAUACACUCUUUCCCUCUGAGUAUAUACUGAUGUUGUUGACAUUCUUGGCAAUAUAUAUGAUGGUAUAGCCCAAGAUCCAUGCUGCCACAGGCAACUUUGUUGUCUGUGUUCCUUGCUGCCACUGGAAAUUAUACUAAUAUCACUAAUCUAACCUGCCGUCAGAAAUUCUGUUGAUAUCCAUCAUCCAUGAUGCCAACGGUACGUACCCAAUUUACACAUAGUCCAGUUGCUUCUGAAAGAAUGUUAAUAUUAAGGAGUUCUUCAGGCACUAGUGUCUAUUCUGAAGUUUAUCAUCAAUAUUGCUGCUUGAGGUCAUGUUGUGAAGUGUUCUAAGAUACGUUAUAUUGAAAUCAUUGAUAAAUUUUGGGAAAAGAUGCCAUUGUAUGUCCACAAUCCUUGAUGCCAGGAUCAGACAAGAUGGCAGCAUUCUCUGCUGUCAAUCAGAAUGUGAAUUAUUCUAAUACAACCCAAAUCUAUGCUGAUGUCAGCAAUCCACACUUCUGCCAUCUCAUACCAUAUUAUGUAUGUGAUGUGUGCUGCUGGCUGCAACCAAUUUGAUGCCAAAGAUCUAUCCUGCCACUAGAGUAGACAUUUCUGGCUAUGGUCUGAUACAUUCUCUGAAACUGUGUACAUGUCAAUGAUACCUCCUGGCAACAAACCCUAUGGUUUAAACCUGAUGAUGUCUGCUACUAGCCACUGUGAUAUUAGGGAUUCAUGCUGCCACUUUGGACCAUAUUGAUUAUAUCAUUGAACUCAAUUGCAAAGGAAAAUAUCUUGAUAUCAUGUAAUACUGCUGCCUGUGGUAACCAUGUUGAUAUCCCUAGUCAGUGUUUACUCUCAAGAACUUGGUGAUAUCUGUGAGCCCUAUUGUCAGAAGAGUCUAUCUUGAAGUGCAUAAACAAUACUGCUGCUUAGUUCUGAAUGUUAUCUGAGAAAUAUGUGUAAUAAUACUUGCAACUGGAAUCUACAAUGAUAUCAAUACUGCCUGCUGUCACAAGCAAACAAGAUUGUGUCCAUAGAUAUUAUUGAGAUCCUACCUGCCAUAAGAAACUAUGAUGAUUUCCCAGAUGCAUGCAUGUAUGUAGCCCAAAAUGUAGACCACAUUAAAUAAAACAGCCUUUUUGACACCAG